UGAACCUGCGGAGGAUAUUACAGUAUUCUUUUUGCCAGCGCUUAAUUGCGCGGCGAAAAAACCUUACACACAGUGUUUUUUGUUAUUACAAGAACUUUUGCUUUGGUCUGGACUAGAAAUAGUUUGGGCCAGAGGUUUACUGAACUAAACUUCAAUAUUUAUAUUGAAUUGUUACUUAUUUAAUUGUCAAUUUGUUGAUUAAAUUCAAAAAAUCUUCAAAACUUUCAACAACGGAUCUCUUGGUUCUCGCAUCGAUGAAGAACGCAGCGAAAUGCGAUAAGUAAUAUGAAUUGCAGAUUUUCGUGAAUCAUCGAAUCUUUGAACGCACAUUGCGCCCUCUGGUAUUCCAGAGGGCAUGCCUGUUUGAGCGUCAUUUCUCUCUCAAACCUUCGGGUUUGGUAUUGAGUGAUACUCUUAGUCGAACUAGGCGUUUGCUUGAAAUGUAUUGGCAUGAGUGGUACUGGAUAGUGCUAUAUGACUUUCAAUGUAUUAGGUUUAUCCAACUCGUUGAAUAGUUUAAUGGUAUAUUUCUCGGUAUUCUAGGCUCGGCCUUACAAUAUAACAAACAAGUUUGACCUCAAAUCAGGUAGGACUACCCGCUGAACUUAA
rnacentral:rRNA from 1 species